rnacentral:rRNA from 1 species
UCACCUGUUUAUCAAAAACAUGUCUUAUUGAUUAUAAUUUUAAGUCAAAUCUGCUCAAUGAAUUAAUUUAUUUUAAUAGCUGCAGUAUUUAUAACUGUACAAAGGUAGCAUAAUAAAUAGUUUUUUAAUUGAAAACUAGAAUGAAUGAUUUAAUGAAAUAUAAACUGUCUCAAAUUUAAAAAAUAAAUUUUUUUUUAAAUAAAAAAAUUUAAAUUUUUAUUAAAGACGAGAAGACCCUACAGAAUUUUUUUUAAUUUUUAAAUAAAUUUUUUAUUUAAAAAUUAAUUUAAUUGGGGAAAUUUUAAAAUUUUAAAAAUUUUUAAUUAAUUAUAAACAUUAAUUUUUGAAUAAUUAAAAUUUAAUAAAAAAUAAAAUUAAAUUACCUUAGGGAUAACAGCAUAAUUUUUUUAAAAAGUUCAAAUUAAUAAAAAAGUUUAUGACCUCG